AGGGCAAGUCUGGUGCCAGCAGCCGCGGUAAUUCCAGCUCUCAAAAUGCAUAGAAUUAUUGCUGCGGUUAAAAAGCUCGUAGUUGGAUCUGUGCUAGCCGUCCGGUGCACUCUCUGAGUGUUACUGGUUCGGCUGGCUUUUCUGCCGGUCUCUCCCCGGCGUUGGCCUUUACCGGUCGGCGUCGGUGGGCUGGCGAGUUUACUUUGAACAAAUCAGAGUGCUUCAAACAGGCGUUUCGCUUGAAUGUUCGUGCAUGGAAUAAUAGAAGAGGAUUUCGGUCCGAUUUUAUUGGUUUUGCUGACCGAGAUAAUGGUUAACAGAGACAAACGGGGCCAUUCGUAUUGCUACGUGAGAGGUGAAAUUCUUGGACCGUAGCAAGACGGACUACAGCGAAAGCAUUUGGCAAGAAUGUCUUCAUUAAUCAAGAACGAAAGUCAGAGGUUCGAAGGCGAUCAGAUACCGCCCUAGUUCUGACCGUAAACGAUGCCAACUAGCGAUCCGCCGGCGGAUUUAUUCGCCCUGGUGGGGAGCUUCCCGGAAACGAAAGUCUUCCGGUUCCGGGGGAAGUAUGGUUGCAAAGCUGAAA
rnacentral:rRNA from 1 species